rnacentral:lncRNA from 1 species
CUGAUGUCAUGUGUUAAUACAUGGUUUGGGAUGUUAAUAAGUAAGUUUUGAAAUUCUUGUGUGAUGUUUCAAAGCAAAUUAAGAUUGCCCCCCAAAAAUAUUCAAGUUGAAUGUUUUAAGAAUGAUUUUUUAAGAAACAAAAUCUGUAUUAAAUUUUUUAUUCUGUAUAUAAAAUGAAAACAUUUAUAAAAAGGUUGAAAUGAGAAAAGAAUAAAGGUACAUUUUCUCAUAAUUCUGAGAAGAAGCUAAAUUCUCUCCCUCUCUUGAAAACAUUUUACUUUGUUUCUUUCAGCUUCUUAAUUCUAUAUGUGUGUUUAUGUCACAAAUGUCAAAUUGUAAAUGGGUAAGGCUUUUUUCUUUUAAAAGAGUUAAUGAUUUGUAAACUGUAAUUGCAAUUUGUUACUUCUAGGAGUCCCCUGCCUAGGCUUUAUGCCUUUUUUUGGAAAAACCACACUAGUUUGAUACUUAAAGCAUUUCUGAAAAUAAAAGGCAAAA